GCCUUAGAGUUUGAUCCUGGCUCAGGAUGAACGCUAGCUACAGGCUUAACACAUGCAAGUCGAGGGGCAGCAUUUUUCUAGCAAUAGAAGAGAUGGCGACCGGCGCACGGGUGAGUAACACGUAUCCAACCUGCCGAUAACUCCGGGAUAGCCUUUCGAAAGAAAGAUUAAUACCGGAUGGCAUACGAAUAUCGCAUGAUAUUUUUAUUAAAGAAUUUCGGUUAUCGAUGGGGAUGCGUUCCAUUAGUUUGUUGGCGGGGUAACGGCCCACCAAGACUACGAUGGAUAGGGGUUCUGAGAGGAAGGUCCCCCACAUUGGAACUGAGACACGGUCCAAACUCCUACGGGAGGCAGCAGUGAGGAAUAUUGGUCAAUGGGCGAGAGCCUGAACCAGCCAAGUAGCGUGAAGGAUGAAGGCUCUAUGGGUCGUAAACUUCUUUUAUAUGGGAAUAAAGUUUUCCACGUGUGGAAUUUUGUAUGUACCAUAUGAAUAAGGAUCGGCUAACUCCGUGCCAGCAGCCGCGGUAAUACGGAGGAUCCGAGCGUUAUCCGGAUUUAUUGGGUUUAAAGGGAGCGUAGGUGGAUUGUUAAGUCAGUUGUGAAAGUUUGCGGCUCAACCGUAAAAUUGCAGUUGAAACUGGCAGUCUUGAGUACAGUAGAGGUGGGCGGAAUUCGUGGUGUAGCGGUGAAAUGCUUAGAUAUCACGAAGAACUCCGAUUGCGAAGGCAGCUCACUAGACUGUUACUGACACUGAUGCUCGAAAGUGUGGGUAUCAAACAGGAUUAGAUACCCUGGUAGUCCACACAGUAAACGAUGAAUACUCGCUGUUUGCGAUAUACAGUAAGCGGCC
rnacentral:rRNA from 1 species